rnacentral:rRNA from 1 species
CCCUUAGAGUUUGAUCCUGGCUCAGAACGAACGCUGGCGGCGUGGAUAAGACAUGCAAGUCGAACGCAAUAUCCAUUGUAGCAAUACAGUGGGUGUUGAGUGGCGCAAGGGUGCGUAACACGUGGGAAUCUACCAUGAAGUUGGGGAUAAUCCCGGGAAACCGGGACUAAUACCGAAUGUGACCGCAAGGUCAAAGCGGGGGAUCGCAAGACCUCGCGCCUGAAGAGAAGCCUGCGGCAGAUUAGCUAGUUGGUAGGGUAAUGGCCUACCAAGGCGACGAUCUGUAACCGGCCUGAGAGGGCGGUCGGUCACACUGACACUGACAUACGGGUCAGACUCCUACGGGAGGCAGCAGUCGGGAAUUUUGGGCAAUGGGCGAAAGCCUGACCCAGCAACGCCGCGUGAAGGAUGAAAUCCCUCGGGAUGUAAACUUCGCAAGAAUGGGAAGAAUAAGUGGGGGACAAUACCCCCCAUGAUGACGGUACCAUUUGUAAGCUCCGGCUAACUCCGUGCCAGCAGCCGCGGUAAUACGGGGGGAGCAAGCGUUGUUCGGAUUUACUGGGCGUAAAGGGCGCGUAGGCGGCCACGACAAGUCACUUGUGAAAUCUCCGGGCUUAACUCGGAACGGUCAAGUGAUACUGUCGGGCUAGAGUGCAGAAGGGGCAACUGGAAUUCUCGGUGUAGCGGUGAAAUGCGUAGAUAUCGAGAGGAACACCUGCGGCGAAGGCGGGUUGCUGGGCUGACACUGACGCUGAGCGCGA